CAUUUGGCUCUGGACACUUGAGCAGUGAGUAUGGUUCUCCUGCAGCUCCCUUCUGACACAUGAUUACGGUUGGUGAUUAUUUUUUCCUGUUGUGCCUCCUUACAGACUGAGUGUCUGACACAUGUACAGAGCCCACAAGCUGCCAUGAGCUAUUUCUACAUGUAACUAGGUGACUACGCCUUGCAGCUUCCCCUACGUUAUAGGCUUUUUAACUUCAUUAUGUGAUCAGGCAUGUUGCCAACUUUGAAGGCCAUUCCACACAUCUGAGUGAUCUGGCUUGCCGUCCAGGUGAUUUAAGUGCCAAUCUUGAUAAAGGUCCGCAUAAGGACCGAAACGUCGAUGAAAUACGGCAUCAACAGUGAACCCGAAUAAAAAUAUACUGAAUUUACAAGUGACUUCAGAGACUAAUUUCUGGGCGUGAGUGCACCUUCCACCUAGGUGGUUGUUGUGGUAUAUAUAUAUAUAUAUAUAU